CUGGGCUCUACCAAUCAGCAGGAUGUGGGUGAGGCCGGAUAAGAGAAUAAAAGCAGGCUGCCCCAGCUAGCAGUGGCAACCUGCUCGGGUCCCCUGCCACACUAUGGAAGCUUUGUUCUUUUGCUCUUUGCAAUAAAUCUUGCUACUGCUUACUCUUUGGGUCCACACUGCCUUCAUGAGCUGUAACACUCACCGGGAAGGUCUGCAACUUCACUCCUGAGCCAGCGAGACCACGAGCCCACUGGAAGGAACAAACUCCCGCACGCCGCCUUUAAGAACUGUAACACUCACAGAGAGGGCCCGCGGCUUCAUUCCCGAAGUCAGUGAGACCAAGAACCAACCAAUUCCGGGCACGGGAUCAAUUGGGAUUAGAAUUUUAUCCUACUGCUAAAACAUAAAGCAAAAAGGCCAAAAGUGAUCUCACCUUUUCAGAGAAACGCACUUAAAUAGCAGCAGCAGGUGCCUCUCUUUUCUGAGCUUCCCUUCACCUGAAUGUGGUUCUGGUACUUAAAGUUUCUUUUUCUGCAUCCGCUGCUCUGUUAAGUGAUCACCACAUUCAUUGUUCUCGUUUCUAUUAUUUCUGAAAAAAAUCUUCAGGAUUCUGCUUGUGGGAGUGGAUGACAUUUUUACAGUGUUUACAGAGUAAGCAGAUUGGACUGGGACAUGAUCUUCUCUUCAAGAGGGCAGAAGCACAAGGCCCAAUGUAUAAUUGCUAUUCAUAACUCUACUUAUGUGAUAUUUGUUACCUGGGUCCCUACAUUAGCCAAGGCAGAACACAUGGUCAAGCUGAGGUGCAGAGAAUUACACCUUGACUACACAAGAGUAUAAAUACAAGGAGGAGUGAAACUCCAGGGCCAUUACUGUUGCCAAUCUAACACAAAUAGGACACUCCAUUUUUUAAGAUUGUAAGUUCUGCAGGAAAAAUGCCUGAGUCAAUAUCCUGGCCCUACCAGGAGCUCUGUAACCUUGGAAAAAUUACUAAGCCUGGUUUCUCAUUUUAAUAAGGAAAGACAGCAAAACUAUACCUCAUAUCAUUAAUGAGUACACAUUUGUGAGCCCUAUAUCUAACACAAAAUAUGUACCAAAAAUAUUAAUUGUAUUAUUCCAUAUAUGUGGGCAUUGAGGUUCACAGGAGUUGACGUAUUUAAAAAUAAAAUUUAACAUUAAUAAUAUGUGCUGAAAUUGUGCUUGAAUGCAGAAAUUCAGAUUUCCUGACUUUGGAUUUCAGGUUUGUUAAACAACAUCCUGCUAUUACUAUGUAAAAACAUUGAAGUAUAAUCACUAUAGAAAAAGGAAAUAUAAUUAAUCAAUUAUUACAUUCUUUCUUUCUUUCUUUUUGGGGACGGGGUCUCGCUCUGUCCCCCAGGCUGGAGGGGGGACCGUCUCAGCUCACUGCAACCUCUGCCUCCUGGGUUCAAGUGAUUUACCUGCCUCAGCUUCCUGAGUAGCUGGGACUAUAGGCACCUUCCACCAUGCCUGGCUAAGUUUUGUAUUUUUUGGUAGAGACAGGGUUUCACCAUGUUUGGCGAGACUGGUCUUGAACUCCUUACCUCAGGUGAUCUGCCCAUCUCGGCCUCCCAAAGUGCAGGGAUUACGGGGGUGAGCCGCCGGCCUGGCCUACAUUAUUAAAUUCUUAAACUGAUGUUACACAGGCAUCAUUAUAAAAAUUACACGGUAGGGAAUUAGUUGAUAACUACUUUAAAAUCUUUAAAGUAUAAAAUACAUACUUUGUUCUAUUUAUAAAACAUGAUAUGAAAUAAAUGACACAUUCGCUGUAUUAAAUCCAAUAAAUUGUCAAAAAUAGAUGCAUUACGUGUAGACUGGUAUGGAUUAUUGAACAAAUGUAAUUACAUUUUUAAAUUCAAGCUGUCUGAUACAGAAUGUAGAACUAGGACACUUGCAAAGGUAGCACUGUAGUAAACAUUUUAUCUUAAUGAUAUUAUGCUACUUUAAUACUAUGUAAUAGCACAAAGUCAACACUUUUAGGAUGCCCAGGUACAUACUGGAAAUUGACCAUUAUAUUCGUUUUUUUCUACAGAUAUUGAAUAUUCUUUUAAGGGAUACACACAGACAACUAGCUCUUUCUACCAGAAAAGCGUUUUUGUAGACACAUUGCAGUUUCAUUUUUCUUUAAUGACUGACACUGCUCCAUAUGUUCAGAGCUCAUACUUCUAAAAGAAAUUUGACAAAUUGUUU
rnacentral:lncRNA from 1 species